UGGGGAAUAUUGCACAAUGGGGGAAACCCUGAUGCAGCGACGCCGCGUGAAAGAAGAAGGUAUUCGUAUCGUAAAGUUCUGUCCUAUGGGAAGAUAAUGACAGUACCAUAGAAGAAAGCUCCGGCUAAAUACGUGCCAGCAGCCGCGGUAAUACGUAUGGAGCGAGCGUUGUCCGGAAUUAUUGGGCGUAAAGGGUACGCAGGCGGUUUAAUAAGUCGAAUGUUAAAGAUCGGGGCUCAACCCCGCAAAGCAUUGGAAACUGAUAAACUUGAGUAGUGGAGAGGAAAGUGGACUUCCUAGUGUAGUGGUGAAAUACGUACAUAUUAGGAGGAAUACCAGUAGCGAAAGCGACUUUCUGGACACAAACUGACGCAGAGGUACGAAAGCGAGGGGAGCAAACAGG
rnacentral:rRNA from 1 species